rnacentral:rRNA from 1 species
GACGAACGCUGGCGGCGUGCUUAACACAUGCAAGUCGAGCGGUAAGGCCCUUUCGGGGGUACACGAGCGGCGAACGGGUGAGUAACACGUGGGUGACCUGCCUUUAGCUCUGGGAUAAGCCUGGGAAACCGGGUCUAAUACUGGAUAUGACUCCAUGACGCAUGUUGUGGGGUGGAAAGCCUUGUGCGGCUAGAGAUGGGCCCGCGGCCUAUCAGCUUGUUGGUGGGGUGAUGGCCACCAAGGCGACGACGGGUAGCCGGCCUGAGAGGGCGACCGGCCACACUGGGACUGAGACACGGCCCAGACUCCUACGGGAGGCAGCAGUGGGGAAUCUUGCGCAAUGGGCGAAAGCCUGACGCAGCGACGCCGCGUGAGGGAUGACGGCCUGGU